GGCGAUCAGAUACCGCCCUAGUUCUGACCGUAAACGAUGCCAACUAGCGAUCCGCCAGUCGACUCAUCGCUCUGGUGGGGAGCUUCCCGGAAACGAAAGUCUUCCGGUUCCGGGGGAAGUAUGGUUGCAAAGCUGAAACUUAAAGGAAUUGACGGAAGGGCACCACCAGGAGUGGAGCCUGCGGCUUAAUUUGACUCAACACGGGGAAACUCACCCGGCCCGGACACCGUAAGGAUUGACAGAUUGAUAGCUUUUUCAUGAUUCGGUGGAUGGUGGUGCAUGGCCGUUCUUAGUUCGUGGAGCGAUUUGUCUGGUUUAUUCCGAUAACGAGCGAGACUCUGGCCUACUAAACAGUUGACGCAUUGCCACUGUGCGCACAACUUCUUAGAGGGAUUUUCGGUGUUUUCAACCGCACGAAAUUGAGCAAUAACAGGUCUGUGAUGCCCUUAGAUGUCCGGGGCUGCACGCGCGCUACACUGGCAAACGCAACGUGCCUGUCCUGCCCCGAAAGGAGCGGGUAAACCCCUGAAAUUUUGCCGUGAUUGGGAUCGGACAUUGCAACUAUUGUCCGUGAACGAGGAAUUCCUUGUAGGGGCGAGUCAUCAACUCGUCCCGAAUACGUCCCUGCCCUUUGUA
rnacentral:rRNA from 1 species